UGUGCAGAGUGCUUCACCCUGGAGCUUUUGACUGAAAUGGAGGAUGAAGGGAAUCUGGUGGGUACCAAGGACAAACUCUUUAAGGCUUCCCAACAAAUCUGAAUCUAUGUUGAAGAUCAAAAUGAAGAUAUGCAGUUGUACAGGAGAUACUUGUGGGCUACUUGCAUUUUUGUUCAGUCUUGAAUACUGUUCUUUAUCUGUACAGUAACUUACUUUGAAGUACGUGCUCAAAAACAAAUGCUUAUUGUGAUUAAAGAGGAAAUGAUGCUGAAAAUCUCUUUUGUUUAAAAACAAAAA
rnacentral:lncRNA from 1 species